ACAGUCUUUAGCCCAGAGGUUGGCAACCCAAGGCCCAUGGGCCAGAAGCAGCCCAUGAGGGUCGCUUAACUGGCCCAUGAGCCAUCCCUGAACCGAGCUGCCCACGCGGCAAGUCUCCGCGCGCUGCGCUAAACUGGCACAGCACAGCGCAGGGACUCUCUUCUGCGGCUCUGGAAAUCGCUUCUGUGCAUGCCUAGAUGCUGGAAAUCGCGCCUGCGCACAUCUGUGGUGCCAGAAAUCGCUUCUGUGCAUGCCUAGACGCCGAAAAUCACUUCUGCUCAGGCACGAUUUUCGGCGUCUGGGCAUGCGCAAAGUGAUUUCUGGUGUUGUGGACAUGCGCAGAUGCGAUUUCUGGCGUCGCGCUGCGCCAGUCUGGCCCACAGAGGAUCUCUGCGGGAGUGAUCCGGCUGGUGCCUGGUAAGCCUUGCCGACCCCUGCUUUAGCCGGUAAACAAUGACAGUAGGUAAAUGUUAAACCAAAUGGGAAGUUCAUUUCAAGACGAUUUUCACUCUGCGUUUCAAGUACCCCCAAUCAUAGUUACAGACUUGAGAACAGACACGCUGUGAGCUCAAUCACAUACAGCCAUUACAAGCACCUGCAAAUAGCUUCUUCCUUUUCAUAUUAAAUGCCAGAAGCGCUCUCUCUCUGUGUGUGUGUGUAUUCUUAUAAUUCUCGUUCUAAUUCAGGCAUGGCACUUAAAAGAAAUUUAGAAUUAAUGCAAUCACACCGGGAAGCAAAAGAUCUUGAACAGGUCAACUGGAGUUACGAAAGGGUUUUGUUGUCCGCAGCCUGGCAUUUGCAGAAAAUUACUGACCAUCUGAAAUACUGGUUUUAAAAAAGAAGCAGCUAAGAGCACUGUUAUUUGGUGAGAUGCAAUUUAGUUUAAAAGGUGAUUGCACUGUGAUUAUAAUUCACCCCUAGUUGAUUUCUUUUAUUGUGUUAAAAACAGCCUAUAGUUCAUGUUCUCUUUUAAAAGUCCUGCAAAUUCAUAUGACGGCAGAUGUGUACUCUGUCUUCUGGAACCUGAGUCUUUAUAACUCUGAAAGCUAUUCUUAUUCAUGUAGCUAGAAACGUGUAAUCCUUCAAAACUCAUAGAGUUGGAAGGAACAUGGAGCUGGAAGUCCUACUCCCUGCAAUGCAGGAAUGUGCACCUGUCCCUUGCAGGGAUCGAACCUGCAACCUUGACGUUGUCAGCACCAUGCUCUAACCAACUGAGCUCUCCAGCUAUCCCAAUAGGGGGAAAUGUAGACACCAAAUGACCCAUUUGCCAGGCUGCAACUCCAGCUCAAGAAGAGGAGCUCCAGGGACAGCAAUUAUCUGUUCCUGCUCCCUGCAAACGUAAUAUUGGAGGGUUCCAUUUUUAAAGAUUAAAGACCCAAGUUUCUAGUCCUGCUGCCAGUUGGAACCAAUGAUUGGUACUUAGAUGUUAGCAGAGAGUUAGUGCCAAGUUGCAAAGGUGCCGGCUCUUUGUGGGCCAAUGGCUGCAAAAGGAGAUGUUUUUGGUGAAAGUGGGGUGCUUCAGAUGGACGGCGACAAGAAAAAUUCCUUCCUUUAAAAAAUCAUGGAUACUGUUUGGCUGACUUUGCAUGCAGCAGCUGCUCUGCUAUUGGUAGAUGUCAUGUUCUCCCACAAUGCCCCACGGCCCAUCUCUCUCCUCACUUGCACAAUACCUCUGGAAUAACACUGCGUCCUGGUGUUGCAUUGUUACCAGUGCGGCACUGAAGGAGAACAGAGCAAGGACUAGACUUCUGCGAGCAGGACAAUUACUUACAUCUUUGAAAGGUCACAAAAUGAACACAAGCCACUGUUGCAGGCACCGUUCAUCUGCGUCAGCCUCCACACCCAUGAAUUUCCCCCCAAUUUUCUCCUGUUCCAGAAUUUGUGUUUCCUCCCCUCCUGUUCUCCCUGCCCACUGCCCAUUUUAUUAUUCCUCUUGUGGAGGGAAAAAAAGAUGCCAAAAACUUCAGUUCAGAUUUAGCAGGCUCAGAAACAGCUGCUACAAUUAUUCUCUCUUGGUUUUGGUGCCGUGAAAUCGCAUCCAAGGCAAGACUCAAGACAAGUGUUUCAGGGUGGCUUUCAGGGACAGAAUACCAUUGAGUAACACCAGUUAUAGGAUCACAGACUUGGAAGGGACCUCAAGGGUCAUCUAUCCCAACCCCCUGGAAUGCAGGAAUCUUGACAUACGGUUCAUCCAAUUUGAAACCACACCAGAACCUGCUUAGCUUUGUAGAUGUUGCUAGGCAACAACAACGAGGGGAGAGGCUGUUGUUUUCAUACCCUGCUUAUGGCCUUCUUGAUAGCAUCUGAUUGGCUACAGUUAUAAAAGCAGAAUGUUGGAUAGGUGGAACUUUAAUCUGACUAAACAGGAGCAGGCUUUGUGAGUCACAGAGUCUGCGUAUUUCCUGUUCACAGGAAGUUUAUGUUUUGUCUAUUGCUUUCGUUUCUCUCUCUGUGCCUGAGACACUGAAGCAGGCAGUCAUGUUUUCUUUGUUCUGACCAACGCUGAAUAAAACUGUAAAUAAUG